rnacentral:rRNA from 1 species
UUGGAGGGCAAGUCUGGUGCCAGCAGCCGCGGUAAUUCCAGCUCCAAUAGCGUAUAUUAAAGUUGUUGCAGUUAAAAAGCUCGUAGUUGAAUUUCGGGGUUCUUCCGUUGGUCAGGCUAACCAGUCUGUACUAGCGUGUAGAAUUCCUACCUUCUGGGGAACCAUCAUGUUAUUAAUUUAGCGUGGUGGGAAACCAGGACCUUUACCUUGAAAAGAUUAGAGUGUUCAAAGCAGGCUUACGUCUGAAUACAUUAGCAUGGAAUAAUAAAAUAGGACGGUGGUCCUGUUUUGUUGGUUUCUGAAUCACCGUAAUGAUUAAUAGGGAUAGUUGGGGGCAUUAGUAUUCAAUUGUCAGAGGUGAAAUUCUUGGAUUUAUUGAAGACUAACUUCUGCGAAAGCAUUUGCCAAGGAUGUUUUCAUUAAUCAAGAACGAAAGUUAGGGGAUCGAAGACGAUCAGAUACCGUCGUAGUCUUAACCAUAAACUAUGCCGACUAGGGAUCGGACGAUGUUAAAUUUUAUUGACUCGUUCGGCGCCUUACGAGAAAC